rnacentral:rRNA from 1 species
GAGUUUGAUCGUGGCUCAGAUUGAACGCUGGCGGCAGGCCUAACACAUGCAAGUCGAACGGUAACAGGAAGAAGCUUGCUUCUUUGCUGACGAGUGGCGGACGGGUGAGUAAUGUCUGGGAAACUGCCUGAUGGAGGGGGAUAACUACUGGAAACGGUAGCUAAUACCGCAUAACGUCGCAAGACCAAAGAGGGGGACCUUCGGGCCUCUUGCCAUCGGAUGUGCCCAGAUGGGAUUAGCUAGUAGGUGGGGUAACGGCUCACCUAGGCGACGAUCCCUAGCUGGUCUGAGAGGAUGACCAGCCACACUGGAACUGAGACACGGUCCAGACUCCUACGGGAGGCAGCAGUGGGGAAUAUUGCACAAUGGGCGCAAGCCUGAUGCAGCCAUGCCGCGUGUAUGAAGAAGGCCUU